rnacentral:tRNA from 1 species
GAGGGUGUAGCUCAGUGGUAGAGUGAGUGCUUAGCAUGCACAAGGUCCUGGGUUCAAUCCCCAGCACCUCCA